rnacentral:rRNA from 1 species
AUUGAACGCUGGCGGCAGGCCUAACACAUGCAAGUCGAGCGGAUGAAGGGAGCUUGCUCCUGGAUUCUGCGGCGGACGGGUGAGUAAUGCCUAGGAAUCUGCCUGGUAGUGGGGGAUAACGUCCGGAAACGGGCGCUAAUACCGCAUACGUCCUGAGGGAGAAAGUGGGGGAUCUUCGGACCUCACGCUAUCAGAUGAGCCUAGGUCGGAUUAGCUAGUUGGUGGGGUAAAGGCCUACCAAGGCGACGAUCCGUAACUGGUCUGAGAGGAUGAUCAGUCACACUGGAACUGAGACACGGUCCAGACUCCUACGGGAGGCAGCAGUGGGGAAUAUUGGACAAUGGGCGAAAGCCUGAUCCAGCCAUGCCGCGUGUGUGAAGAAGGUCUUCGGAUUGUAAAGCACUUUAAGUUGGGAGGAAGGGCAGUAAGUUAAUACCUUGCUGUUUGGACGUUACCAACAGAAUAAGCACCGGCUAACUUCGUG